UUGAACGCUGGCGGCAGGCCUAACACAUGCAAGUCGAGCGGAUGAAGGGAGCUUGCUCCUGGAUUCAGCGGCGGACGGGUGAGUAAUGCCUAGGAAUCUGCCUGGUAGUGGGGGAUAACGUCCGGAAACGGGCGCUAAUACCGCAUACGUCCUGAGGGAGAAAGUGGGGGAUCUUCGGACCUCACGCUAUCAGAUGAGCCUAGGUCGGAUUAGCUAGUUGGUGGGGUAAAGGCCUACCAAGGCGACGAUCCGUAACUGGUCUGAGAGGAUGAUCAGUCACACUGGAACUGAGACACGGUCCAGACUCCUACGGGAGGCAGCAGUGGGGAAUAUUGGACAAUGGGCGAAAGCCUGAUCCAGCCAUGCCGCGUGUGUGAAGAAGGUCUUCGGAUUGUAAAGCACUUUAAGCUGGGAGGAAGGGCAGUAAGUUAAUACCUUGCUGUUUUGACGUUACCAACAGAAUAAGCACCGGCUAACUUCGUG
rnacentral:rRNA from 1 species